CACGUAGGGUGCGAGCGUUGUCCGGAAUUAUUGGGCGUAAAGAGCUCGUAGGCGGUGUGUCGCGUCGGCCGUGAAAACUUGCAGCUUAACUGUGGGCGUGCGGUCGAUACGGGCAUCACUGGAGUUCGGCAGGGGAGACUGGAAUUCCUGGUGUAGCGGUGAAAUGCGCAGAUAUCAGGAGGAACACCGGUGGCGAAGGCGGGUCUCUGGGCCGAUACUGACGCUGAGGAGCGAAAGCUAGGGGAGCGAACAGG
rnacentral:rRNA from 1 species